UUAGGACAGCAGACUCUGAAUCUG
rnacentral:misc_RNA from 1 species